rnacentral:rRNA from 1 species
CUUGGUCAUUUAGAGGAAGUAAAAGUCGUAACAAGGUUUCCGUAGGUAUUGGUUUGCCUGCGGUCAUCAGUCUGCUCUGGCAGGCAACAUCUCUAUCUUGCUGGAAUUUACAUAAAUUGUACUACCAGCGGCUCUUUUGAGUUCACAGAUCAAAUAGAGGUGGCCCUCUCUGGGUUAAGAUAUGAUCGGAUGUAAGCUUGGUUGCUUGCAAUAAUCGGAACCUGCGGAAGGAUCAUUACUGAGAACUUGCCCCUAGGGGUAGAUCUCCCACCCUAUGUUUACAUACUUUGUUGCUUUGGCAGGCCUGCCUCUGUGCUACUGGCCUUGGCUAGUUAGUGCCUGCCAGAGAACCAACACCCUGAAUCAUUUAUUGUCAGAGUAAUAUACAAUAGUUAAAACUUUCAACAACGGAUCUCUUGGUUCUGGCAUCGAUGAAGAACGCAGCGAAAUGCGAUAAGUAAUGUGAAUUGCAGAAUUCAGUGAAUCAUCGAAUCUUUGAACGCACAUUGCGCCCUCUGGUAUUCCGGGGGGCAUGCCUGUUCGAGCGUCAUUACAACCCUCAAGCUUUGCUUGGUAUUGGGUGUUUACCAUCUGUGGUACACCUCAAAAUCAUUGGCGGUGCCAUCUGGCUUCUAGCGUAGUAAUACUUCUCGCUAUGGAGUUUGGGUGAGCGCUUGCCAUCAACCCCUAAUUUUCAAAGGUUGACCUCGGAUCAGGUAGGGAUACCCGCUGAACUUAAGCAUAUCAAUAAGCGGAGGAGAAGAAACCAACAGGGAUUGCCUUAGUAACGGCGAGUGAAGCGGCAACAGCUCAAAUUUGAAAUCUGGCUUAUGCCCGAAUUGUAAUUUGUAGAGGAUGUUUCGAAUGCGGUCCAGUCUAAGUUCCUUGGAACAGGACGUCAUAGAGGGUGAGAAUCCCGUAUGUGACUGGGUGCCAACUUCAUGUGAAACUCCUUCGACGAGUCGAGUUGUUUGGGAAUGCAGCUCAAAAUGGGUGGUAAAUUUCAUCUAAAGCUAAAUAUUGGCCAGAGACCGAUAGCGCACAAGUAGAGUGAUCGAAAGAUGAAAAGCACUUUGGAAAGAGAGUUAAACAGUACGUGAAAUUGUUGAAAGGGAAGCGCUUGCAAUCAGACUUGCAUGCAGUUGAUCAUCCGAUGUUCUCACCGGUGCACUCAGUUGUAUACAGGCCAGCAUCGGUUUUGGUGGUUGGAUAAAGGCCUAAGGAAUGUAGCUUCUCUCGGGGAGUGUUAUAGCCUUGGGUGUAAUGCAGCCUACUGGGACCGAGGACCGCGCUUCGGCUAGGAUGCUGGCGUAAUGGUUGUAAGCGACCCGUCUUGAAACACGGACC